CAAGUCGAACGCGAAAGGGGCUUCGGCCCUGAGUAGAGUGGCGAACGGGUGAGUAACACGCUGGGUGACCUACCUCUGAAUGGGGGAUAACGUUCCCGAAAGGGACGCUAAUACCGCAUAACAUCCUGCCUUUGAACAGGUGGAGAUCAAAGCCGGGGAUCGCAAGACCUGGCGUUUGGAGAGGGGCCCGCGUCUGAUUAGCUAGUUGGUGAGGUAACGGCUCACCAAGGCGACGAUCAGUAUCCGGCCUGAGAGGGCGGACGGACACACUGGGACUGAGACACGGCCCAGACUCCUACGGGAGGCAGCAGUGGGGAAUUGUUCGCAAUGGGCGCAAGCCUGACGACGCAACGCCGCGUGGAGGAUGAAGGUCUUCGGAUUGUAAACUCCUGUUGCCCGGGACGAAAUGCUUCGACCUAACACGUCGAAGUUUGACGGUACCGGGUGAGGAAGCCCCGGCUAACUCUGUGCCAGCAGCCGCGGUAAUACAGAGGGGGCAAGCGUUGUUCGGAAUUACUGGGCGUAAAGGGCGCGUAGGCGGCCUUCUAAGUCGAACGUGAAAUCCCCGGGCUCAACCCGGGAACUGCGUCCGAUACUGGAAGGCUUGAAUUCGGGAGAGGGAUGCGGAAUUCCAGGUGUAGCGGUGAAAUGCGUAGAUAUCUGGAGGAACACCGGUGGCGAAGGCGGCAUCCUGGACCGGCAUUGACGCUGAGGCGCGAAAGCCAGGGGAGCAAACGGGAUUAGAUACCCCGGUAGUCCUGGCCCUAAACGAUGAAUGCUUGGUGUGGCGGGUAUCGAUCCCUGCCGUGCCGAAGCUAACGCAUUAA
rnacentral:rRNA from 1 species